UUAACUCAAAUUUGUAUGGAGUUGAAACGUUGCCUACGUUUGCCGCUAAGGGCGCUGUUCCAAACUGCAUACAUGGAGUUA
rnacentral:pre_miRNA from 1 species